CAACUACUCCCUCUGAUCCAUAUUAAUUGUCUCAAAUUUGCCUAAAUAUGAAUGUAUCCAUACCUAAAAAGCGUCUAGAUACAUGUAAUGUUUCGACAAUUAAUAUGGAUCAGAGGGAGUACAUC
rfam:Brachypodium distachyon strain Bd21 chromosome 1, whole genome shotgun sequence.